GAUGAACGCUAGCGGCAGGCCUAACACAUGCAAGUCGAGGGAGAAGCCCUUUCGGGGGCAGAAACCGGCGCACGGGUGCGUAACGCGUAUGCAACCUACCUUUCACAGGGGGAUAGCCCGAAGAAAUUUGGAUUAAUACCCCAUAAUAUUAUUGGAUGGCAUCAUUUGAUAAUUAAAACUGCGGUGGUGAAAGAUGGGCAUGCGUCCUAUUAGCUAGUUGGAGUGGUAACGGCACCCCAAGGCUACGAUAGGUAGGGGUCCUGAGAGGGAGAUCCCCCACACUGGUACUGAGACAGGGACCAGACUCCUACGGGAGGCAGCAGUGAGGAAUAUUGGUCAAGGGUCGGAAGACUGAACCAGCCAUGCCGCGUGCAGGAAGAAUGCCUUAUGGGUUGUAAACUGCUUUUAUAUGGGAAGAAUAAGGCGUACGUGUACGUUGAUGACGGUACCAUAUGAAUAAGCAUCGGCUAACUCCGUG
rnacentral:rRNA from 1 species